UACGUAGGGUGCGAGCGUUAAUCGGAAUUACUGGGCGUAAAGCGUGCGCAGGCGGUUUUGUAAGCCAGAUGUGAAAUCCCCGGGCUUAACCUGGGAAUGGCAUUUGGGACUGCAAGGCUGGAGUUUGGCAGAGGAGACUGGAAUUCCUGGUGUAGCAGUGAAAUGCGUAGAUAUCAGGAGGAAUACCGAUGGCGAAGGCAGGUCUCUGGGCUGAUAACUGACGCUCAUGCACGAAAGCGUGGGGAGCAAACAGG
rnacentral:rRNA from 1 species